AAACGCGCCGGAAGCCGCGGAGGAGUCGAGAGGCGUCCUCGCGCCAGAGCGCCCGGAGCGCGCUGCGCGGCUCCCGCCACAGCGCCUCCUGCUGCCUGGAGCGCGCACUGCCUGAGGGCCAGUCCAAGCCGCUUAAUCACCGUUUCUCCAGUAGCUCCUUCCUGACUGGAGGAGGGGACACAGAGAACAGGCCGAUGUCUUUGGUACAAAACCUAAAGAGAAGAAAAGAAAGUAUGGGUCUCAUUCUAAAUGCCUUCUGGUCCUGGAGCCCGCAUUGCCAUUGCUGAAGACCUUGAACACUCUGGAAGGUAGCAAGUGAUGGCUCAAAUGUUUGGGUCCCUGCCACCCAUGAGGGUCACCCAGAUUAAGAUCCACCCUCCCAGAUUCAGCCUGGACCAGUGCUGGUUGUUGUGGUCAUUGGAUGGAGAAUCUCUGUCUCUGCUUUUCAAGUCUGUCAUCAGUCUUGUAGUUAAGAAUGGGCCUUCCUGGGAUGAGAUGCAGUGUGUGGCUGACUGAGGAUGGCACAUAGCAAAAAAGAACCACAUGGUGUAAGUCUCUAGGAGCCCUGAGGGAGGGGGACACUGAGGGAGGAUGUGGGGGGAACAUAUACAAUGUAAUCUACAGAUGUUGUUGAGUCUGCCCAACAGACCUCAUUGAACACUAUGCACACUUCUGUGCAAAAUAAGCUACUCCAAUGUCAGUUCCCUGGUUGGUUCAUAUAGCCUACCUCAUUAACAUACUGUCUUCUGAUUGGUUGUUAUCCCUGCCUUCUGAUUGGCUGUUACUCUACUCAUCCUUUUAUUGGUUAAAUCUGGAUCCAGUUUUAGAAAGGAACCAAUCAGAGGGAGCCACUCUGUGUAUAAAAGAGACAAUGCUGGUAAGCUUCUUUGGCAACUCUUCCCCUGAGUCCCCCUGCUGACUGCUGUGGCAGGAGGUUUCUCACUUUAAGUAAAUCUUGUUUUGCUCACUGUUCCUGUCCACAUGGAAAUUCUUCAGUGUGAAACAAGAACUGAGAUUACCUCAUCAUUCUGCAACAUUACUGAGUCAGGAAAAUCAAGGAUUAAUAAGGGUCACAGAAUAUUUUAAUGGUAGCCAUUUAGUCACUGCAUCUAUAUACAUCUAUAUAUAGAGAGAGAUAGAGAUAUAUAAAUUUACUCAACAAAUCUUUAUUUAGUGUCACUAUCUUAUUAGAAACUUAGGCAUGAAGAAGGUAGACCAGGACCCUGAUCUCAAUUAACUUGGGCUAAGGGAGAAUAAGGCAAGAAAGAAGUAAAUAGCUGGACAAAAUCAUUUCAGUGACACAUGUAUGCAUUAUUUUUUUUAAGUUUUUAUUUAAUGAAUGCAUUUUUUCAUAGGUACAACUUUAGAAAUAUAGUGGUUCUUUCCCCCAUACCCACACUCCCACCCUAACUCCCAUCCCACCUCCAUCUCCCUCACCCAUCUCCUUCUUCAAUAUGGUCCAUUUUUAGUUUGAUUUUUUUUUUUUUUUGACAGGCAGAGUGGACAGUGAGAGAGA